rnacentral:rRNA from 1 species
GACGAACGCUGGCGGCGUGCCUAACACAUGCAAGUCGAGCGAGUGAAUCUCCUUCGGGAGUGAAGCUAGCGGCGGACGGGUGAGUAACACGUGGGCAACCUGCCUCAUAGAGGGGAAUAGCCUUCCGAAAGGGAGAUUAAUACCGCAUAAGAUUGUAGCUUCGCAUGAAGUAGCAAUUAAAGGAGCAAUCCGCUAUGAGAUGGGCCCGCGGCGCAUUAGCUAGUUGGUGAGGUAACGGCUCACCAAGGCGACGAUGCGUAGCCGACCUGAGAGGGUGAUCGGCCACAUUGGGACUGAGACACGGCCCAGACUCCUACGGGAGGCAGCAGUGGGGAAGAGUGCACAAUGGGGGAAAACCUGAUGCAGCAACGCCGCGUGAGUGAUGACGGCCUUCGGGUUGUAAAGCUCUGUCUUCAGGGACGAUAAUGACGGUACCUGAGGAGGAGGCCACGGCUAACUACGUGCCAGCAGCCGCCGUAAAAC